rnacentral:rRNA from 1 species
CUACGGGAGGCAGCAGUGGGGAAUAUUGGACAAUGGGCGCAAGCCUGAUCCAGCCAUGCCGCGUGAGUGACGACGGCCUUAGGGUUGCAAAGCUCUUUUAGCGGGGACGAUAAUGACGGUACCCGCAGAAUAAGCCCCGGCUAACUUCGUGCCAGCAGCCGCGGUAAUACGAAGGGGGCUAGCGUUGUUCGGAAUCACUGGGCGUAAAGCGCACGUAGGCGGAUUGGUCAGUUGGGGGUGAAAUCCCGGGGCUCAACCUCGGAACUGCCUUCAAUACUGCCAAUCUUGAGUCCGGAAGAGGUGAGUGGAAUUCCUAGUGUAGAGGUGAAAUUCGUAGAUAUUAGGAAGAACACCAGUGGCGAAGGCGGCUCACUGGUCCGGUACUGACGCUGAGGUGCGAAAGCGUGGGGAGCAAACAGGAUUAGAAACCCCAGUAGUCC